rnacentral:rRNA from 1 species
UACGUAGGGUGCGAGCGUUAAUCGGAAUUACUGGGCGUAAAGCGUGCGCAGGCGGUUCUCCAAGUCCGUUGUGAAAGCCCCCGGCUCAACUGGGGAGGGUCAUUCGAUACUGAUCGACUCGAAGGCAGGAGAGGGUAGUGGAAUUCCCGGUGUAGUGGUGAAAUGCGUAGAUAUCGGGAGGAACACCAGUGGCGAAGGCGACUACCUGGCCUGUUCUUGACGCUGAGGCGCGAAAGCGUGGGGAGCGAACAGG